rnacentral:rRNA from 1 species
AGAGUUUGAUCCUGGCUCAGAUUGAACGCUGGCGGCAUGCCUUACACAUGCAAGUCGAACGGCAGCACGGGAGCUUGCUCCUGGUGGCGAGUGGCGAACGGGUGAGUAAUAUAUCGGAACGUACCCUAGAGUGGGGGAUAACGUAGCGAAAGUUACGCUAAUACCGCAUACGAUCUACGGAUGAAAGUGGGGGAUCGCAAGACCUCAUGCUCAUGGAGCGGCCGAUAUCUGAUUAGCUAGUUGGUGGGGUAAAAGCUCACCAAGGCGACGAUCAGUAGCUGGUCUGAGAGGACGACCAGCCACACUGGAACUGAGACACGGUCCAGACUCCUACGGGAGGCGGCAGUGGGGAAUUUUGGACAAUGGGCGCAAGCCUGAUCCAGCAAUGCCGCGUGAGUGAAGAAGGCCUUCGGGUUGUAAAGCUCUUUUGUCAGGGAAGAAACGGUUCGGGCUAAUAUCCUGGACUAAUGACGGUACCUGAAGAAUAAGCACCGGCUAACUACGUGCCAGCAGCCGCGGUAAUACGUAGGGUGCAAGCGUUAAUCGGAAUUACUGGGCGUAAAGCGUGCGCAGGCGGUUGUGCAAGACAGAUGUGAAAUCCCCGGGCUCAACCUGGGAAUUGCAUUUGUGACUGCACGGCUAGAGUGUGUCAGAGGGGGGUAGAAUUCCACGUGUAGCAGUGAAAUGCGUAAAGAUGUGGAGGAAUACCGAUGGCGAAGGCAGCCCCCUGGGAUAACACUGACGCUCAUGCACGAAAGCGUGGGGAGCAAACAGGAUUAGAUACCCUGGUAGUCCACGCCCUAAACGAUGUCUACUAGUUGUCGGGUCUUAAUUGACUUGGUAACGCAGCUAACGCGUGAAGUAGACCGCCUGGGGAGUACGGUCGCAAGGUUAAAACUCAAAGGAAUUGACGGGGACCCGCACAAGCGGUGGAUGAUGUGGAUUAAUUCAUGCAACGCGAAAAACCUUACCUACCCUUGACAUGUCCGGAAUCCUUGAGAGAUCAGGGAGUGCUCGAAAGAGAAUCGGAACACAGGUGCUGCAUGGCUGUCGUCAGCUCGUGUCGUGAGAUGUUGGGUUAAGUCCCGCAACGAGCGCAACCCUUGUCAUUAGUUGCUACGAAAGGGCACUCUAAUGAGACUGCCGGUGACAAACCGGAGGAAGGUGGGGAUGACGUCAAGUCCUCAUGGCCCUUAUGGGUAGGGCUUCACACGUCAUACAAUGGUACAUACAGAGGGCCGCCAACCCGCGAGGGGGAGCUAAUCCCAGAAAGUGUAUCGUAGUCCGGAUUGUAGUCUGCAACUCGACUACAUGAAGUUGGAAUCGCUAGUAAUCGCGGAUCAGCAUGUCGCGGUGAAUACGUUCCCGGGUCUUGUACACACCGCCCGUCACACCAUGGGAGCGGGUUUCACCAGAAGUGGGUAGCCUAACCGCAAGGAGGGCGCUCACCACGGUGGGAUUCGUGACUGGGGUGAAGUCGUAACAAGGUA